ACCGGCGAGUUGCGUUAGUCAGCAAGGUUAAGUCAGAAAAGACGGAGCCGUAGCGAAAGCGAGUCUGAAGAGGGCGAGCAGUUGGCUGACGCAGACCCGAAACCAAGUGACCUACCCAUGACCAGGUUGAAGGCGCGGUAAAACGCGCUGGAGGACCGAACCCACGUAAGUUGAAAAUUGCGGGGAUGAGUUGUGGGUAGCGGUGAAAUUCCAAACGAACUUGGAGAUAGCUGGUUCUCUCCGAAAUAGCUUUAGGGCUAGCCUCGCAAAGAGGAUGCUGGAGGUAGAGCUCUGUUUGGACUAGGGGCCCGUCAAGGGUUACUGAAUUCAGAUAAACUGCGAAUUCCAGACAUUUAUGUGCGGGAGUCAGACUGCGAGUGAUAAGAUCCGUAGUCGAAAGGGAAACAGCCCAGAUCACCAGUUAAGGUCCCAAAAUUCAUGCUAAGUGGAAAAGGAUGUGGAGUUGCGCAGACAACUAGGACGUUGGCUCAGAAGCAGCCAUCAUUCAAAGAGUGCGUAAUAGCUCACUAGUCGAGUGACGCCGCGCCGAAAAUUUACCGGGGCUAAGCAUGAUACCGAAACUGUGGAUGUGCAUUUAUGCACGUGGUAGGAGAGCGUUCUAGCGGCGGUGAAGCAUGACCGAGAGGACAUGUGGAGCUUCUAGAAGUGAGAAUGCCGGUAUGAGUAACGAAAGACAGGUGAGAAUCCUGUCCGCCGCAAGACUAAGGUUUCCUGGGGCAGGCUCGUCCGCCCAGGGUAAGUCGGGACCUAAGGCGAGGCCGAGAGGCGUAGUCGAUGGACAACAGGUUGAAAUUCCUGUACUGCACCGAAUCGUUAUGAGCGAUGGAGGGACGCAGGAGGCUAGCAGCGCGUGGUGCUGGAUACCACGUUCAAGCGUCAAGUCUGAGAGUGAGUCAAAUGCUUGCUCUCAUAAGGACAAGGCGUGAUGAGGAGCGAAAUUAAAGUAGCGAAGG
rnacentral:rRNA from 1 species